GAUCAUGGCUCAGGAUGAACGCUAGCUACAGGCUUAACACAUGCAAGUCGAGGGGCAGCAUGGUCUUAGCCUGCUAAGGCCGAUGGCGACCGGCGCACGGGUGAGUAACACGCAUCCAACCUGCCGUCUACUCUUGGGCAGCCUUCUGAAAGGAAGAUUAAUACAAGAUGGCAUCAUGAGUCCGCAUGUUCACAUGAUUAAAGGUAUUCCGGUAGACGA
rnacentral:rRNA from 1 species